CUUUGCCCCCUUCGAUCUUCGGCUAACGCGCUCUCUCCCCGUGUGUGUGUAUAUAUAUAUAUAUGUAUAUACAUAUAUUAUAUAAAUCAUACAUGUAUAUACAUAUACAUAUACACGUUGAACAUUCGCCGGUUGUUGUUUCUCUCGUACGUCUUUACGGCGUACUUCUCAUUGUGUUGUUGUUUUUUGUUUAUUAUCUUUUUAUCAAUUUUUUUCAUUCCUUUUCAUUUCACUUUUACGGGGGUGAAAAUAGAAAAGGAGAGAGAAUCUCGUGAUUGUUCUGUCCGAGGUCGAUGUCGUGGUCGUUGUCGUUUCUACUGUCGCGAGUGCCGAUCGAGAGGGAAAUUCCGGAAAGAAAGGAGGAAUAGGUGCGUGCGCGUACGCGCGCGCGCACCAGCGCCGAAGAUAGAGAGAAAGAGAGAGAGAGAGAGAGAGAGAGAGAGAGAAAGAGAGAGAGAGAGAGAGAGAGAGAGAGAGACGAACCGUUCGUGAAUCGUCGCGCCGGUGAUACACGCGCCCUGAUAUUACGCACGAGGACGUGCACGGGAGAGGAGACGGGAGAGGAGAAGAUAUAUAUCGUGAGCCUUGCGUGCUUCUCUUUUCUGGUGCCGGGUGAAAGAAAGAAAGAAAGAAAGAAAGAAAAGCAACAAAUAAAUACAGAAAGAGAGGGAAAGAGAAAGAAAUAACGGGAGAAAGACAGAAAGGAGAAAGCACGGUGACCGGUAUGUAAGUGAAUAUAAGAGUGUGCGUCUUUUGCGUGUGCAUUCCCUUUUGUGUGUCUUCCUUCGAGAAAAGAAAUAGAUAAGAGUUAGUGCGAGGAGGUACGAGAUAACGAAGCCCGGGGUGGUAUCAGGAAAACAGUGCGCGAGUGGUUAAGAUAGGGUAACAGAAAAAAAAAAAAGGAAAAAGGAAAAGAAAGCACAGGAAAAGAAAACCAAGGAAAAGUGUGGAGAAGAACAAUUUUCGCCAAUCGGAAAGAGAAUGUUCACUUUCGCUUUCGUUCCGUUCUUCCUCAUCUCCUUCCUUCUUCCCCCAUUUCUGAUCAUGUCGGAGAGUAUACCCUCCAAGGGAGAGAGAGAAAGAGAAGUAGAUAGGUAGAUAUAAAUAGAUAGAUAGAUAGAUAGAUAGAUAGAUAGAUAGGUAGAUAGAUAGAUAGAUAGAUAGGUAGAUAGAGAUAGAGAAAGAGAGAAAUAUAGAGAUAGAGAGAAAGUGACAAGGGAUAAGGACGAAGAAACAGUGGGGUGGUGUUGGUUUCUAAAAAUCAGAAGAAAAAGAAAGAAAGGAAAAAAAAAGAAAAACGCUUGGUGGGGGGUACAUCGAACGCAUGUUGGAUUUAUCCUGACGGAAGUCGAUUGUCCUUAGGACUCGAUCCUCACCGUCUUAUCCACCACCAUCGGCAGGAGUAACAGCAGCACCACUAUCACACCACCACCACCACCACCACCACCACCAUUGCUAGCAGCACCACCGCUAGCAGCGGCAGCGGCAGCAGCACCACCACCACUACCACUACCAUCGCCGCCACCGCCACCACCACCGCCGGCGACGCCUCCUGGCAAAGCCGGUGGCACGGUAGUGUCCUCGAGAGCACGCCGUGCACGCAUCGGUGCUGCGAAUGUUCCACGGCUCUCUCUCGCGACGGCGUGAGUCGACGAGAACGCGCGUCGUGUCGUCGUCGGCGAGUGACGGAAACUACGGCGCCAACCCCCACCGAAAUACUCCUUUCUACGAAUACUACUACCAAUACUACUACUACUACUACUACUACGAAUACUACUAUAGGCUCGGUUUAGUCGCUUCGUGGAUGCUACGCGCAGUGUAUGGGAAACAGAUCGUACAAAUCAAUCGCCUUCUAACAAGCCGCAUUAACCUCAAGUGAUUUAUAUUUUCUUACGAAGCGCGAAAGAAGUAAUUAGUGUGUUUAUAUCGUAUAAAAGAAGAAGAAAACAAAAAAAAAAGAUAUUCAACAAGAGCUUAAGUUCAGAAGAAGAAGAA